AACACCACUUCCCAAAUCUAUCGUCUCUUUCAUGUCUUUCUUUCAAACACACACCCUAGCAGCCACCACAUCUCUCUCUUCAAACACGUUCUUCCGGGCUAGCUCUGACACCACCACCACAAAUCACAACCACCGUCCUGCUAAUUUUUUUUUUCGUUGCUCGGAAAAGCCAUCGCCGUCAUCUUGAAAUGCCUUUACGUUUUUUUUUACCUCAAUUCGUCACAGAGUUGCUAAUGAAGGACCUCGGAGGUAUUGCAGUUUCUCCCACCCUAUCUUCUACUGUGAGUGUUGUUACUGGACGAAGUCCCACACCGCCUUCUGCUCUCAUUACCCGGAGUACGAUCGUUGGCCUGGUUGUGCCAGGGUGUUCUACGCACUUUAUUUCGAGAUAAAUGAUGAUAUCCAGUUACUAAAGAUCAUCUAAAUGAACUCAACUUGAUUUUUUGAUGGAUUCGUCGACAGAAACAACACCUUGAUCAUGUUUACCUUAAAUCAUAAUAUGUCAUCAUAUUAUUGGUAUAGCUAUUUUGACUAUUUAUGUAUAGUGAUCGUCUAUUAUAGUUUGUUGAGCUUUAAAUAAACUAUGUUUUUUUACGGA